UGCGUAUGUGCGUGUUUUGAAGUUUACUGGAUAAGACAGGUCAGAGAGAAGGGUUUGAAGGUUAUAAGUUGCAAAACAUGCACACCCUCUCUCUCUCCUCCAUUUAGCUCUACCUGAUUUGUCAUUUGUUCCAUCUGUAACAAUUCCACCAUCAGACUCUAAAAAGCUCUGCAAACGCUCAAACUCUUCGCUGGAUAGUUGUGGAAAUUUCAACUUUGAGAACUUGAGACCCUGCACCACUGAUACUGUAACCAUGGGAUUUGAAAAAAAUGAAUAUUCAGAUGACGAUUUUACCUACGAUUAUGAGACCAUUAGAAGAGGUGGGCUGAUCUUUGCAGCUGUUUUAUUCUGUCUGGGCAUGUUUAUCAUAUUCAG